rnacentral:rRNA from 1 species
AUGUGGCCCCUAUCCAGCGUUUUGACCGGUCCACUCAGGUGCUUUUGUCUAGGUGGUAACACAACAAGCUGCUUAUAUUAUAGAAACUUAUUAUACGUACAUUCGUAUGUUCAUUCUGCUUGCAUGUUAGAGAAAGAGCUUCUGCCCCUAUUUGGGUUCCAGAACAAACGACUAGGUAUUCCCAAAGAGGUCAUUCCACUGGUGGCUAGCAUAAUAUCUUCAUGUCGGGACAACGAUCCAAGCAAGCAACCAUCAUUCUACCAGCUCUUGUCAUCGCUGAAGAAAUUACAGUGGUUACAUUGUUACAGAAAGCCUAUGACAAUUUGCGAGUGUUUGUGCAAUAUACUGGUUUUAUGGCAGGUGCAUGUAUGA